GAUUAAGAUACUAAGAGUAUGUGGGGAAUGCCUUGGCACAGAUAGGCGAAGAAGGACGUAGCAGGCUGCGAUAAGCCUCGGGGAGCCGCCAAGCGGGCUUAGAUCCGAGGAUAUCCGAAUGGGGAAACCUUAUACGGUAAACCCGUAUAGUCCAUGAAUGAAUUCAUAGUUCAUGGUCGCCAACUCAGGGAAGUGAAACAUCUCAGUACCUGAAGGAAAAGAAAACAAAAGUGAUUCCCUAAGUAGUGGUGAGCGAAAGGGGAAGAGCCUAAACCGAGAUGUAUGUAAGGCUGCAACCGUUGUACAUCCGGUGUCGAGGGACCUGAUAGACCAAGUGCAGUGAGGUCAAAAGGUUACAAACUGUUUGAUUAGCAGAACAUGUCUGGAAUGGCAGGCCAAAGAAGGUGAAAGCCCGGUAUGCAAAAAUCAAACAGCCUUUUUCAGGUAUCCCAAGUACCACGGGACACGGGAAAUCCUGUGGGAAUCUGGGAGGACCACCUCCUAAGGCUAAAUACUCAUCUGUGACCGAUAGUGAACUAGUACCGUGAGGGAAAGGGGAAAAG
rnacentral:rRNA from 1 species